rnacentral:rRNA from 1 species
UUCGGCGACCAUACCACGUUGAAAGCACCGAUUCUCGUCUGAUCAACGAAGUUAAGCAACGUUAGGCCCGGUUAGUACUUGCAUGGGUGACCGGCUGGGAAUACCGGGUGUGGCCGGUU